AACCAGCUAAGUUUGGUCAUGGAUUCAACCAUGAUGUAUUUCUUCCCUAAGUGGACAUCGAGUGUGAUGUGUGUUUGUGUAUCAUAUUCUAUUAUGAAAUAGUAGUCUUCUGUGGAAUGGUUACUGCAGUGCUUCAUUUCUUAUAUUGUUAAUAUUUGUGAAAUUAUUUUUUUCUUUGACGUGAUUUCGAUUAAAUCAGGUAAUAAAUACUCUUUCGUUUUGAUACUAUUAAGUAAUUUAAGUUGGCCUAUGUAAUUAAAAUUUCACAUAUUUAAAUGCAUAGAUCAACCUCAAUGUUAAAAUUUUUUUUCAAAUUUUGUUUAAAAUUUUGAAUGAUGGAUGUGUGUGGCCGCUUGCAUGUCCAAGUAGAAUCUUCAGGCACUGUUAUUUUUAAGUUUGUUAGGCUAUGCUACACAAUGUUAAAAUGAUUCUAAGGUCACAAGAAGAUGCUUUUUAAUGAGUUUGGCACUGAAGAACGCCAAGAUCAGGUUUAUCACCGGUGUCCUGUUGCAGAGGCACAGCGAUCUUUUCAUGUUAUAAAUAUUUUUUACAAGGCACAAGUAUCAGUCCUCUACGGAAACUGGCAAUAUCAUGUGUCCUUUGUAAACUGCCAAAACGAUUCAAUUCCAAGUUCCAGGUCUAAAUACAGAAGCAAAAUGAAUCAUGCUUUAUUAGACUUUCUCCCUACCUAUUCUAUGCUGCCCACAGAUGCAGAAAUUUAGCAAUAUUUGUACAUGUACAGAUAUGCCAACAAAGUGCUUGAAUAUUUCAUUUAGUUUUUUUCUUUCAUUCAUGUUCAGUAAGUGCUUUAUCCUUAUCUAUCCCAGGAGCACUAGAGACGAGGCUGUAAUGCACCCUGUAUCAGACACACAUUCAAACACUACAUUUCCCACUAGGAGCAAGUUGCCAAAUCACCUCACUAUUUUCAGAAAUCCGAAGAUCUGUUUCCAAUACCAUAUUCUAACAUGUAGUAUUAAAUGAAAGUUAAUAUGCCCUUGGCAGAUAAUUACUAGGCAAUAAAAGGAGGUUGUUGCCAGUGAUGAACUGAAUUCAUAAAUUUAAUUUCUGAAACCCUAUCUUAGCUUAACCUUCUUAUUAGGAUUUAAUGCGGAUAUAGAAACCACAUCAGCUGUGGUCUCAGGACUUAAGAAUUUUAGUCCCCUACUGAAGUGUGUAUAAAAGAGUUUAGCCAGACUCCUUAAAACUUUCCCAGAUGCUCUCAGGCAGUCUCUGACUCUUGGUUCUGAACAUUGAUUCAUUACUCAGCACUGUCCCUUGAACUGGUACCAAAAAAUCACCUUUGCUGCAUCUCACCGGCUCUUGGUUCUGAACAUUGAUUCAUUACUCAGCACUGUCCCUUGAACUGGUACCAAAAAAUCACCUUUGCUGCAUCUCACCGGGCAGUAAAGAUUACUUCAAGGAUCUGAAGUGGUAUGCUAAUAAAAAGGUCAAUCAACAUCAGCGACAGUCGCUUGCUGAAGUGAAGGAUUCAGCUUCCCAUCAUCCACCAUCUGAAUCACCAUCAGAGCCUGCAUGAACAGUUUUACAAAAAUUAAUUGGUUCUUGUCAUGCCUCACCAGUUGCUCUUCCACGUGUGUCGGACGUCGGGGUCGUGGAUGCCGUGUUUGUCCGCCUGCUCGUCCAGGAAGUCGAACAUGUAUUUGAUGGCGAGCGGGAGCGCGCUUCCCCGAUUCACCGUGCUGAAGAGCGUCUCGAACAGAUCGUCCACAAACUUCUGCAACGUGCCCUGCAUGAACACACCCAGAACAGGAGCAGAGGAGCAUCAGAGACUCACCGUAUCGGCUGAAGCUCCGCGGGAAGCUGGCCGACGUCGAGAUGUUGUAGGAGGACAUCUGCUUAGCUCUCGGAGCACUGGAUGGUCGUCCAUGCCCGGAAACAGGAUCCUCAUGACGUAGGUGCGGUAGUCCAGAUGUGGGAUUCCAGCCCGGUCCAGAUCACUCGUCAGCUCGUUUAUGUCUGUCUGGAGCUCCGCAAAUGCUGAACACACACACACACACACACACACACACACACGCACGUGCAAGUCAGAAACUAUGCAAAAUUGUGCACUGAGAGCUUUCAAUUGUACUUCACAAUUGUGUGAUUCAUCAUUUCUUUUCUCUGAGUACAAGUUUAUGAUUCUAUUCUACUCUGAUUCUAAUGACAAUAUGAUUCUUCGUUUCUAUGAAUUGUCUCUGUCAAAUGAUUCUUUGAUUCUUUUCCAUGACCACAUGAUUCUUUUAAUUGUUUUAUUUAGUUUUAUGACUAUAAUUGUUUACUAUGAGCUUAUGAUUCUUUUCCAUGAACACAUGAUUCUUUUAUUCCAUGAUUUUUAUUUUAUGACUGUAAUUGUUUACUAAGAGCUUAUGAUUCUUUUCUGUGACCUUAUGAUUCUUUGAUUCCAUGAUUCUAUUUUAUGAUUAUAAUUGUUAACUUUGAGUUUAUGAUUUUUGUUCUACGACUUUAAUAUUCUAACUAUAGCAAACUGUAUUUUGAAUCCAUAAUUCUAUGAUUAUAUUCUAUAUGAUUCUACUGUAUAUUCUUAUAUACUCUCUAUGAUUCUUUGAUUCUUUUUAUAACCACAUGAUUAUUUUCUAAAGCUAUAUGAUUCGUUGAUUCUAUAAAUCGUUUUUUGGCCAAAUGAUUCUUUGAUUCCAUGAUUCUGUUCUAUAACCACGUUAGUAUUUGAUUCUUUUCUACAACCAAAUGAUUCUCUGAUUCCAUUAAUCUUUUUAUGGCCAAGUGAUUCUUUGGUUCUGUGAUUUUAUGAUUCUUUUCCAUGACUCUAUGAUAUUUAUUGCCCUUCUUUAUGACUGGUUCUGUCCUUCUAUGAUUAUUUUUUACGAUUUUAUGUAAUAUUGCGACUCUAUAGCAAAGGUUUUAUGAGUCUGUGAUUUGACGAGUAUAUUCUACACACUUUAUAUGAUUUUGUAAUUGAUAGUAUUUUGUACCAGAGUAGACUCCUAUUGCACUGAUGUGCACUAUUAUGAUCACAUUACUGUAUGUUAUUAUUCAUUUCAGUGACUUUAUGAUUUUAUGAAUUUUAUGAAUCAAUAAAUGCAUGAAGCCCUGAUACUGUC